GACGAACGCUGGCGGCGUGCCUAAUACAUGCAAGUCGAACGCUUUUUCUUUCACCGGAGCUUGCUACACCGAAAGAAAAAGAGUGGCGAACGGGUGAGUAAAACGUGGGUAACCUGCCCAUCAGAAGGGGAUAACACUUGGAAACAGGUGCUAAUACCGUAUAACAUUAUUUUCCGUAUGGAAGAAAGUUGAAAGGCGCUUUUGCGUCACUGAUGGAUGGACCCGGGGUGCAUUAGCUAGUUGGUGAGGUAACGGCUCACCAAGGCAACGAUGCAAUGCUUACCUGUUAGGGUGGUCGGCACCACUGGGACUGAGACCCGGCCCAGAAUCCUACGGUAGGCAUCAGUAGGGCAUCUUCGGCAAUGGACGAAAGUCUGACCGAGCCACGCCGCGUGAGUGAAGAAGGUUUUCGGAUCGUAAAACUCUGUUGUUAGAGAAGAACAAGGAUGAGAGUAAAAUGUUCGCCCCUUGACGGUAUCUAACCAGAAAGCCACGGCUAACUACGUGCCAGCCGCCGCUGUAA
rnacentral:rRNA from 1 species